UUGGAGGGCAAGUCUGGUGCCAGCAGCCGCGGUAAUUCCAGCUCCAAUAGCGUAUAUUAAAGUUGUUGCAGUUAAAAAGCUCGUAGUUGAAUUUCGGGAUCAAUGUUUCGGUCAUGCCGUUGGUAUGUACUGAUAUUAUUGAUUUCUCACCUUCUAAAGAACCGUAAUGCCAUUAAUUUGGUGUCACGGGGAAUUAGGACUGUUACCUUGAAAAAAUUAGAGUGUUUAAAGCAGGCUAACGCUUGAAUACAUUAGCAUGGAAUAAUGAAAUAGGACAUCCGAUUCUAUUUUGUUGGUUUCUAGGAUCGAUGUAAUGAUUAAUAGGGAUAGUUGGGGGCAUUAGUGUUCAAUUGUCAGAGGUGAAAUUCUUGGAUUUAUUGAAGACUAACUACUGCGAAAGCAUUUGCCAAGGAUGUUUUCAUUAAUCAAGAACGAAAGUUAGGGGAUCGAAGACGAUCAGAUACCGUCGUAGUCUUAACCAUAAACUAUGCCGACUAGGGAUCGGAUGAUGUUAAUUUUUUAAUGACUCAUUCGGCGCCUUACGGGAAAC
rnacentral:rRNA from 1 species